AGUACCUACCACACAGAGUUGGAACGAGAAUUAAGAGUCAUGUCUUGGCCGGGCGCGGUGGCUCACGCCUGUAAUCCCAGCACUUUGGGAGGCCGAGGCGGGCGGAUCACGAGGUCAAGAGAUCAAGACCAUCCUGGCCAACAUGGUGAAACCCCAUGUCUACUAAAAAUACAAAAAUGAGCCAGGUGUGGUGAUAUGUGCCUAUAGUCCCAGCUACUUGGGAGGCUGAGGCAGGAGAAUUGCUUGAACCUGGGAGGUGGGGGUUGCAGUGAGCCGAGAUUGCGUGACUGCACUCUAGCCUGGGCGACAGAGCAAGACUCUGUCUAAAAAAAAAAAAAAAAAAAGUCAUGUCGUAUGUGCAAAACUCUUAAAGUAUUUAGCACGUAGUACAUACUGUUUAAGUGUUGGUUCUUAUUCAGAGAUAAUGUCAAGUGUUCAAAUGUGAGGCCCUUGGCUCCAAGUGAGGCAGGUGGCCCUCAUGACUAGUGUCACUAUAUAAUUUAUUGUGCAAACCAGGACUUUUGAGAGGGUCAUUAAAGGAAGCACUGGUAAUAAUUGUGUUGGGAAAACAGGUCUGCGGGAAAACAGGUCUGCAGUGAAGCUGUCUCGGGCAAAUGGGAAUAUAUGGUCACAUUAUUUAUGAACCCACUGCAGCUCUACUGCUCACCUUCACUUUGACAGUUACUACUGUUAGUACUUGAGACCGUCAUUAUGACAGUUGCUGUUACUACUUGAGACCAUCACUACAACAGUUACUAUUGUUACUACUUGAGACCAUCAUUAUGACAGUUACUACUGUUACUACUUGAGACCGUCAUUAUAACAGUUGUUGCCAUUACUCUUUAACACCCUCAUUACAAGACUGAAUGAAGGGAUGAACAUAGACAAUGAAAACUUAAAGCAAAAAGGAAGGGUCCAGGGGAAGAAGAAGAGAGCUCCCUGCUUCUAGUGAGCAAAGGCAGCCCUUGAGCUUCCACAGCCCUUCGUAUUUGUUGGGUAGCAAGAGCAGGGAGGAGGAGGUAAUGAUGGGUUGGCUGCUUAACUGAUAACAGGUUCAUAAUAUUAUUAACAGGCUUCAGAU
rnacentral:lncRNA from 1 species